ensembl:lncRNA
AUGGAGGACAAAUGGAACAUGUGGCGACUUUCGCUUAAGGAUUUAAGUAAUCUCCACAUUCCGAGAUGCUACACAAACAUAUCACCUUCUACAGCAAUGCAAAGGGAGCUAUUUGUCUUCUCUGAUGCAUCAACAAAAGCAAUUGCUGCAGUAGCUUACAUUAGACUGACAGAUUCAUGUGGAGUCAAUCAUGUCGGCUUCAUCAUGGGUAAAGCAAAACUCAGUCCCGAGCAAACAGUUCCCCGUCUUGAGUUGUCUGCUGCAGUUUUGGCAGUAGAAUUGGCCGAGUUCAUUGCUUCAGAAAUUGACAUGAACUUGGAUAAAACUACUUACUUUACUUAUAGUAAGGUAGUGCUAGGCUAUAUACAAAAUGAAACACGACGCUUCUAUGUAUAUGUCAGCAAUCGAGUCCUUCGGAUUCGUAAGUCUUCUCAUUCAAAUCAGUGGAAGUAUGUGCACACAGCUGAGAACCCAGCAGACAUUGCAACAAGGUCUGUCACUGCUGCUCAUCUCCAAGACACCAACUGGCUUUAUGGACCAAAGUUUCUUCUAAACAACCCUCAGACUCUACAUGAAGAGAACACAUAUGAGCUUGUCAAUCCUUCUUCAGAUGCAGAGGUAUGUCCUGAAGUCUCCACAUUGAGCACUACAUUAAUGAGUAAAAAUCUUGGAACACAAUGCUUCUCUAAGUUCUCCACUUGGAAGUCCAGCACUCGUGCCAUUGCACAUCUUCUUCAUAUAUCUCGACAGUUCCUUACAGGUUUUACAACAAAAACAUCAAGUUGCAAGGGCUGGCAUUACUGUUCCAAUGCUCCAACAGUUGAAGAACUUCUAUGUGCUGAAAAAAUGAUCAUCAAAGCAGUACAACAGGAGACAUAUGCCCAAGAGUAUAAGAGCUUGGAAAUAGGAAAUAAGCUCUCCAGGAAAAGCCCUCUCAAAGUAUCCACUGAUCCUCCAUUUACAAAUGUUGGACUAGAUGUUUUCGCCCCAUGGACCGUGGUGGCACGAUGA